rnacentral:rRNA from 1 species
UACGUAGGGUGCAAGCGUUGUCCUGAAUUAUUGGGCGUAAAGAGCUCGUAGGCGGUUUGUUGCGUCUGCUGUGAAAACUCGGGGCUUAACCCCGGGCCUGCAGUGGGUACGGGCAGACUAGAGUGCGGUAGGGGAGACUGGAAUUCCUGGUGUAGCGGUGAAAUGCGCAGAUAUCAGGAGGAACACCGGUGGCGAAGGCGGGUCUCUGGGCCGUAACUGACGCUGAGGAGCGAAAGCGUGGGGAGCGAACAGG